rnacentral:lncRNA from 1 species
GGUAAUUUGUAUUAUUGAUUUGUAUUCAUCUCUAAGAUGUGCCUCUCACUGUGAAGUUCCAUGGAUAAAGAUUUGGCUUCAGUUUCUGUCUGGAAACCUGGCACCAUUUACUUACAAAUUAAAAAUACAAGUGAAUCAUUUACAUAUCUCCUAGAAACCAAAGAGUUUGUAUGUUAUACCUCAAGUAAUUUGGAUAAUGCCGUGGGUUGUGUUUUUUUCUUUUUUUAAAUUCUAAUUAAGCCGUCCAUCACUUCAAGGUGAUAAUUUUCUCAAGUAUGCUCUUCUUAAAACGAUUGCAUUUUAUUUAGUAUCUUACAGCGUGAAGAAUUUUGACUCCUAGGGAAAAUCUCAUGUAAGUGAUCAUCUGUUAUCUUGAGGGGAGGAGGAUGGGGAGGAGUCUUUUCUGAUCCUCUUCUUUUGAAAGCUAUCACCCUCCCACUCUAUGGGAUUUAGGUGGGUCUGUCAGAUACAUGGGUUUAAAUCCAGAACCUGCUUGAUUCCCAACUUCUGUAUCCUUUCUCUCCCCACAGAUACCAACCAUCUGGCCCUAAAACAAAUCUCAUCAGUUUAUGAACCAGGCAGCCCAAUCACAGUGCCUAAUUCUCCCUAUCACACAAUUGGUCAAGGAGGGAGCAAGUGACAUAAUCUAAAUUCUUUCCAAAGAUGGAUGCAAAUGCUGGGAAAGCAAGAGUUGAAUUGCUAGCCAUGAGGAAAACGUAAGCCUGAGCUGUUUGCUGGCCAUCUUUGCUUCCACAUGGGGAUGGCCUGCCUGGAAAUGAAGCCACACAGAGAAAACAGAAGAGCAGUGAAGAGAAGGGUAAAAGGAGAGAUCCCAUGACAUGAUUUGCACUCUUAGAUCCAGUUAUGCCUGAUGCAGGACCCACCCCUUGGACUUCCCAUUUCCAGGAGCUAAAACUAGACUGAGUUGAGUUUCUGUCACUGACAGUUGACAGAAAAUAUCAACAAUCCAGCCACAUGGAGCCUCAUGGCAGUACCACUAACCCUGGUCACCACAUGAAUACUGACCAGAGGCAUUUCACCUGAAUCAACUGUUUGUGUUCUUAACUCCAUCUCCUCAUCUGCUUCCUGGAAGACCCAACUGACAUAGAUGGUUACAAGAAAUGAUUUCCUCCUUAUAAAACUCUAGAUGUCAAUGUGAUCUUUCACAAGCACACUGAAAAAUUCACACCGUGGAAAAGAACUAAAGUCCCAUCCUAAUUCAUCAGAGCCUUCUGUUUCCUGUAACAAAGAAGAACUCACAAGAUCAGGAUUCCAAGGUAUAUAUCUAGAAGUGGAAGUGCUGGGUUAUACGCUUCUUGUAUAGAAGAUACCUAAAAAGUGUUUGCUGAAUGAAGAAAUAAAGGAUUGCUCAGGCACCACUGGCACUUUAAGUUGUUCAGCAAGUACUCGUGCCUCUUAAGAACUGGCCAAGGGCCGGGCGUGGUGGUUCAUGCCUGUAAUCCCAGCAUUUUGGGACGCCGAGGCGGGCAGAUCACGAAGUCAGGAGUUCGAGACCAGCGUGGCCAACGUGGUGAAACCCCAUCUCUACUAAAAAUACAAAAACUUAGCCGGGUGUGGUGGCCUGCGCCUGUAGUCCCAGCUACUCGGGAGGCUGAGGCACAAGAAUUGCUUGAACCCACGAGGAGGAGCUUGCAGUAAGCCGAGAUCGCGCCAUUGCACUCCAGCCUGGGCAACAGGGCAAGACUCUGUCCUGAAAGAAAAAAAAAAAAAAAAAAAAAAAGAACUGGCCGAGGUCUUAGCUGGAGCACUCUCUCUACCCUGCAUGUUUGACUGCAUUUCUGUCCAUUUUCAAUCCGUUUUGGUUAUACGUUUUUUCACACAGGUCUGUUGAACUUAGAACACCGAAGGCCUGUGUAUUUUCAUGGCUCACAGCUCAUGUUGUGUUGACCUGCCCCACUGUGGUUAAUGUUUAGCCCCUAAACCACCAGCUGAAUGUCCUUAAAUCUGAAAGAAUAAUGAACACACGCCAACAGAUAGCUUAGGUUUAUUUGGUGACUUGCGCCACAUACUUUGCGAAUAUCAUCUCAGUCAUCCUUUUAGCAUCUCUCUCAGGCACAUACUCUCCUCUGUGGUGGCUCAUGCCGGUAAUCCCAGCCCUUUGGGAGGCCGAGGCGGGCAGAUCACUUGAGGCAAGGAGUUCGAGACCAGCCUGGCCAACACGGUGAAACCCCAUCUCUACUAAAAAUACAAAAAUUAGCCGGCUAUGGUGGCAUGCGCCUGUAAUCCCAGCUGCUCGAGAGGCUGAGGCAGGAGAAUCAUUUGAACCCAGGAGGCAGAGGUUGCAGUGAGCCUAGACUGCACCAUUGCACUUCAGCCUGGGUGAGACCCCAUCUCAAAUCAAUCAAUCAAUCAAUCAAUCAAUCAAUCAAUAAGGGAAAAGCUAUCACACAGCAGAAUACAGUCCAAGGGUAACUACUGAAGGGCCAGAUCAAGGAGCAAAGUCUAUCAUGUAUCAACCUUUACAGUGUCCCCAAGGGUCAGCUGUGUAUAGGGGCCCACACAGAAUUUGGAAUCCAAAUACAUCUCUGGAUCCCCAGGCCUGUGUUUGACUCGCCAGGUAGUAAUGAGAUGUCUCCAUUUUCUGCAGGCUGAAUGAUUCCCUCAGAGCAGAAGUAUAAGCAUAUUUAUUGUUUUUCCUUCUAUCAUAAACAGUUAUUAGUUGUGGCCCUUUCUCCCUUCCAAAUAGGUGCCCAAAUUUCUGGAAGUGGAAAGGGCCCAACUUUCCCAUAUCAGGGGGUGGGCCCCACUGGGCGUGAGCCAAUCAGUGUCUUCUGUCCUGUGAGCUCCCGAUUUAUGCUGGUCUAUAACCUGAGAUGGCCUUCUCAGGAUGGACCUCCAGGGAUUGCUGGAACUUGGACUCUUGUCAGCCUGGUAAAUGGUAUGUCUUAGAUCUGCUGCAGCCGUCGUGGAAAACUUGAAGCUGCCAGGAGAGAGGGGUUCCAACAUGUGGUGGCUAAAGAAUGAAUCCAACUCAAAGGAAGCAGAGCCAAGAAAUGGAUCCAUGCUGUUUGAAUCUUGGAUCAAAUUGUGCCUGGAUCUCCAGUGAGACAAUAAAUUCCUGUAUUACUCAAGCCUAUUUGAGAUUGUUUUCUUUCACUUGAAACAUUAAACUUUUAAAUUGAUACACCCUAGUUAAAUUAUAAACUGUGUGACA